rnacentral:rRNA from 1 species
UACAGAGGGUGCGAGCGUUGUCCGGAAUCACUGGGCGUAAAGGGCGCGUAGGUGGUGGCUUAAGCGUGCGGUGAAAGCUCGGGCUCAACUCCGAGUCGGCCGUGCGAACUGGGCUCACUGGAGCAUAGUAGAGGCAGGUGGAAUGUCCGGGUGUAGCGGUGGAAUGCGUAGAGAUCCGGAAGAACACCCGUGGCGAAGGCGGCACUCUGGGACGGUACUGACGCUGAGACGCGAAAGCGUGGGGAGCGAACAGG